rnacentral:rRNA from 1 species
AUGGAGGGCAUGGAUCACGAGCCGCCGGGCUUCCGCUUCACGCCGACGCGGGAGGAGCUCAUCCGCUACUACCUCGACCCCUGGGUGGCCGACCCUGGAAAGACGCCGGUCGGCGAGCUGCAAGGCAUCGUCUGCGUCGCCUACGUCUACGGCGAGGACCCGGCCGCCCUCACGUCGUGGCACCGGCGCUUCGGCCACGACGACGGAAAUUGGUACUUCCUCUGCGUCGCGCGGUGGAAGGGCAACCGCCCGGGCGGCCGGGCCAGCCGCGCCGUCAGGGGCGGCGACACGUGGCACGGGUACGGCAAGCGGGUCACCGCCGCCGGGGCCGGGCACCGGCAGGCGUUCGAGUACCUCGACGCACGUGGACGUAAGACCGCGUGUCUCAUGGAGGAGUUGGGGACCGUCCUGCCGGCGGCCACGGACGACGCCGGCGUCAGGGUGCUCUGCAGGGUGCACCAAACGGCGAGGACGGCGGCGGAUGGCGACGAGGAGGGCGCGGGGAGUCCAGCAUGGCCGCUCGGUCUUCUAAGAGGCGGCGCCGCCGAGAGCACAACAUUGCCGCAGAUGCAAAGGAUGAGCUGA